rnacentral:lncRNA from 1 species
ACGCAGAAGACGGGUGAUUUCUGCAUUUCCAUCUGAGUGAACAUAGAUUCCUUCAGUAAAUAUUGGGAAAACAUUUGCUUCAGGCCCAUUACUGGGUACCGCUUUGAUACAGAGGACACACCAAGGAACAAGACAGAUAGGACCUCUGCCUCUGGUAAGUUUGCAUUCCAGAGGGAGGAGAAGACAAUAAGCAAGCAAGCCAUCAAGACCACGUCAGAUGAGACGAAUAAAGUCAGACAGCUUCCAAGGAGUGGAUGCUUAUGGAGAGAUCACAUGGAGCCUUGUAGCUGAUUUAUAAUCUCAUGGUCCUCAUUCAUACAUCAAACCCCUGAAGGCCUGGCAUUUUUAUCUCCCGACUCAACCUGCAUGCUACCAGAAGCUCGACAAAAUUACGCCUGUUUAGGAAAAGACUGGAGGAAUUCGUGGAGGAAUUCUUGGAGGGGGAACACUGAAGUCCGCAGUCUCUGAUCUAUAUUCUGUGACUAUUGAGAAGGAGCAAAGGCUAUUGGAGGAAGGUGAUGGAGUGAAAAAGGGAAAGCAGUUGAGCUUCCUACAUGCUCCAUGCUGUGGCAAGAAAAAAAAUGUGUAAGUUUCCACUAGGUCAAGAGCUGUCUUUUUGCUUAUGGGGUCCAGCCCUAGAGGGGAGGAAGGCUCUUAGGGGCAAGAGAGUGAAGGGUGAACCAUGAGUGGGGCAGCUGUUUAGGUUAGAAGUUAGAAGUCUUCCUGAAUGGAACUCAUCUCCCAUGUUAGGAGCUGGGACUUCUGUAGACCCCAUUUGUGCCCCCACUAGAGAGUCAGUCCCUGGAUACCUGCCUUACCAGGGGCAUCCACUGGCAAGAGAUGAUUGCAGUAGCAUUUCAUCAAUAUGAGAAUUUAUGAAUUCAUGUCCUUCUUUCCACCAACACCCAUCCAAGGAAAAGGAGGUGUAAAAAAGGAGGAAGUAGAGAAGAGUGAAAAAGCUG